UACAGAGGUCUCAAGCGUUGUUCGGAUUCAUUGGGCGUAAAGGGCGCGUAGGCGGCGGGGUAAGUCGGGUGUGAAAUCUCAGAGCUCAACUCUGAAAUGGCACUUGAUACUGCUCUGCUAGAGGACUGGAGAGGAGAUUGGAAUUCACGGUGUAGCAGUGAAAUGCGUAGAUAUCGUGAGGAAGACCGGUGGCGAAGGCGGGUCUCUGGGCCGAUACUGACGUGAGGAGCGAAAGCGUGGGGAGCGAACAGG
rnacentral:rRNA from 1 species